GGCCCCGGGAGGGACCCGGAUUCCGGAGCUCGACCCGCCCCGGGUCCGGUGAUCCGGACCCGGGGCGGUUCAGGCCCGCCGGGCUCA
rnacentral:tRNA from 1 species